CCAAGCCCAGGGAGGCCCUGAUGUUCCCAGCAACCACCCUGGGGAUCAGGUCAUCCAACCUGGGUACAGAGUUUGACCAAUGAAGGCAGGAGACAGGAGGAGGUGCUUCAACUGUGCCUGGUUCCCUAGAGAUGUCCUGCAGGACCAUCUGGAUCCUUUAUUUUUUGUGAACCUGAGGCUUACUAGGAGUUUGGAAAGUGCUCCACCAGAAAGCUACUCCAUAUCAAUUCCAAGGUCAUCCUUCUUCUGCCAACCUCUGCCUCCCUCGGCCCCGCCCUGCCCCAGUCACCUACAGCUGCACCUCAUCCAGUCCCAGAGCCAAUGAUGCCUAAGGAAGGAAAAUGAUUCAGAAGAAGGAACCUGGGAUAAGCUGUGUUGCUGCUGACAUGAGCCUGCAGUGAAUCCAGCACCUUCACACCUGCUAGGUCACGACCUUCUGUCUUCCCUGCCCCUAACGCUUCCUCUGGGGGACUGGGGCUGCAGUCCCCUCAGUCAGGAGCAGGGGGCUCACUUUCUAACUGAUAGAUUAUCUAGAACCCAAUACCCUGCCCAUCCUCUUUGUAAGAUCUGUCAAUAGCAACACCAUCCCCGCUCACUCACAGCUCAGAGGUCCUCAGUGUCACUGUACACAGGUACACCCGGAAGCUUGUGAAAAGUACUAUCCCCACCUGUGGAUUCAGAUUUGACCACUCAUCCCUUUUGACAUCCCAGCUGGCUUUGCAGCUGUGCCAACCAACCCAUGACAUCGACAGUCCUUCCACAUCCCUCCUAUCACAUUGAAAGCAUCCUUUAUUGCAGGACAUGUGGUCUCUGGCAACCUACCAAGACUGUAAAUUGUGCCAGACUUCCAAUUGCAGUACAGAUGAAGGCUUCUACAUAUAUUGGGCUGUUAACAAUUUUUAUAUAUGAUGGAAUGAAUAGUAGCCUUUAACAAAG